rnacentral:rRNA from 1 species
AUGAACGCUGGCGGCGUGCCUAAUACAUGCAAGUCGAGCGAACAGAUGAGGAGCUUGCUCCUCUGACGUUAGCGGCGGACGGGUGAGUAACACGUGGAUAACCUACCUAUAAGACUGGGAUAACUUCGGGAAACCGGAGCUAAUACCGGAUAAUAUAUUGAACCGCAUGGUUCCAUAGUGAAAGACGGUUUUGCUGUCACUUAUAGAUGGAUCCGCGCCGCAUUAGCUAGUUGGUAAGGUAACGGCUUACCAAGGCAACGAUGCGUAGCCGACCUGAGAGGGUGAUCGGCCACACUGGAACUGAGACACGGUCCAGACUCCUACGGGAGGCAGCAGUAGGGAAUCUUCCGCAAUGGGCGAAAGCCUGACGGAGCAACGCCGCGUGAGUGAUGAAGGUCUUCGGAUCGUAAAACUCUGUUAUUAGGGAAGAACAAAUGUGUAAGUAACUAUGCACGUCUUGAUGGUACCUAAUCAGAAAGCCACGGCUAACUACGUG